rnacentral:misc_RNA from 1 species
CUGCGGAUGGUGAUGAAGGUGAAGAGGAAGGGGAGCAGAUUGAUGUAGGCCCCCUACCAAGUUCUGGGACAAAAACCAAGCAAACAAAAAAGCAAAUUGCUCAAGCUUCCAUGUCUUCAUUUGUUGUAGCAGCUCCUAUAAAACCAAAUACACAGAAGGCAAGCAAAUCAGUGAGUGCCAUGCUUUGCAAGACUCCAGAGGAAGUUGUAGCAGAGAGACAUAAAAAUAGAACUUCUCAGACCACUCUUGAGCAUUGCACAAAGAAAGGAACAGAAGCAAAGCAAAUUGUUGACGACCAUGUAGCUGAUUUUCUAUAUGAGAACAAGAUUCCAUUGAAUGUCGUCAAUUCAAGAAGCUGGCAGAUUAUGAUGGAGUCCAUUGGUCAGUAUGGUCCUGGAUAUCGUGGCCCAUCAUACUAUGAGGCAAGGGUACCUUGGCUUGAAAGGGCAGUGAAGAGAACAUCAACAUUGAGAGCUAAGCACGAAGAGGCUUGGAAGGAAUAUGGUUGCUCAAUUAUGUCAGAUGGGUGGACUGACAUACGACAACGGCAUUUGAUAAACUUCCUUGCCAACAGUCCAGCGGGGACCUACUUCUUAGGUUCUGUCGAUGCAUCAAGUGAGAUAGCAAAUGCCAAUAUGUUGGCAGAUCUAUUGGAGAAGCAAAUAAUUAAGGUGGGGAAAGAACAUGUGGUCCAAGUGAUCACUGACAAUGG